rnacentral:rRNA from 1 species
GUAAACAGCCAUAUCACCCUGCAGCCCAAGACUGGUUGCCCACUGAAGCUAAGCAGGGCUGAGCCUGGUCAGUACCUGGAUGGAAGACCUCCUGGGAAAACUAGGUUGCUGUUGGAA